rnacentral:rRNA from 2 species
AGAGUUUGAUCAUGGCUCAGAUUGAACGCUGGCGGCAGGCCUAACACAUGCAAGUCGAGCGGUAGCACAGAGAGCUUGCUCUCGGGUGACGAGCGGCGGACGGGUGAGUAAUGUCUGGGAAACUGCCUGAUGGAGGGGGAUAACUACUGGAAACGGUAGCUAAUACCGCAUAACGUCGCAAGACCAAAGUGGGGGACCUUCGGGCCUCAUGCCAUCAGAUGUGCCCAGAUGGGAUUAGCUAGUAGGUGGGGUAACGGCUCACCUAGGCGACGAUCCCUAGCUGGUCUGAGAGGAUGACCAGCCACACUGGAACUGAGACACGGUCCAGACUCCUACGGGAGGCAGCAGUGGGGAAUAUUGCACAAUGGGCGCAAGCCUGAUGCAGCCAUGCCGCGUGUGUGAAGAAGGCCUUCGGGUUGUAAAGCACUUUCAGCGGGGAGGAAGGCGGUGAGGUUAAUAACCUCAUCGAUUGACGUUACCCGCAGAAGAAGCACCGGCUAACUCCGUGCCAGCAGCCGCGGUAAUACGGAGGGUGCAAGCGUUAAUCGGAAUUACUGGGCGUAAAGCGCACGCAGGCGGUCUGUCAAGUCGGAUGUGAAAUCCCCGGGCUCAACCUGGGAACUGCAUUCGAAACUGGCAGGCUAGAGUCUUGUAGAGGGGGGUAGAAUUCCAGGUGUAGCGGUGAAAUGCGUAGAGAUCUGGAGGAAUACCGGUGGCGAAGGCGGCCCCCUGGACAAAGACUGACGCUCAGGUGCGAAAGCGUGGGGAGCAAACAGGAUUAGAUACCCUGGUAGUCCACGCUGUAAACGAUGUCGAUUUGGAGGUUGUGCCCUUGAGGCGUGGCUUCCGGAGCUAACGCGUUAAAUCGACCGCCUGGGGAGUACGGCCGCAAGGUUAAAACUCAAAUGAAUUGACGGGGGCCCGCACAAGCGGUGGAGCAUGUGGUUUAAUUCGAUGCAACGCGAAGAACCUUACCUGGUCUUGACAUCCACAGAACUUUCCAGAGAUGGAUUGGUGCCUUCGGGAACUGUGAGACAGGUGCUGCAUGGCUGUCGUCAGCUCGUGUUGUGAAAUGUUGGGUUAAGUCCCGCAACGAGCGCAACCCUUAUCCUUUGUUGCCAGCGGUUCGGCCGGGAACUCAAAGGAGACUGCCAGUGAUAAACUGGAGGAAGGUGGGGAUGACGUCAAGUCAUCAUGGCCCUUACGACCAGGGCUACACACGUGCUACAAUGGCAUAUACAAAGAGAAGCGACCUCGCGAGAGCAAGCGGACCUCAUAAAGUAUGUCGUAGUCCGGAUUGGAGUCUGCAACUCGACUCCAUGAAGUCGGAAUCGCUAGUAAUCGUAGAUCAGAAUGCUACGGUGAAUACGUUCCCGGGCCUUGUACACACCGCCCGUCACACCAUGGGAGUGGGUUGCAAAAGAAGUAGGUAGCUUAACCUUCGGGAGGGCGCUUACCACUUUGUGAUUCAUGACUGGGGUGAAGUCGUAACAAGGUAACCGUAGGGGAACCUGCGGUUGGAUCACCU